CUUGAACGCUGGCGGCAGGCCUAACACAUGCAAGUAGAACGAGUGGCGGACGGGUGAGUAAUGUCUGGGAAACUGCCUGAUGGAGGGGGAUAACUACUGGAAACGGUAGCUAAUACCGCAUACCAUCGGAUGUGCCCAGAUGGGAUUAGCUAGUUGGGGGGGUAACGGCUCACCUAGGCGACGAUCCCUAGCUGGUCGGAGAGGAUGACCAGCCACACUGGAACUUAGACACGGUCGAGACGCCUACGGUGGGCAGGAGUGGGGAAUAUUGCAAAAUGGGCGCAAGCUUGAUGCAGCCAUGCAGAGUGUAUGAAGAAGGCCUUCGGGUUGUAAAGUACUUUCAGCGGGGAGGCGUUACCCGCAGAAGAAGCACCGGCUAACUCCGUGCCAGCAGCCGCGGUAAUUC
rnacentral:rRNA from 1 species